UACGGGGGGAGCAAGCGUUGUUCGGAUUUACUGGGCGUAAAGGGCGCGUAGGCGGUCACGACAAGUCAAUUGUGAAAUCUCCGGGCUUAACUCGGAACGGUCAACUGAUACUGUCGGACUAGAGUGCAGAAGGGGCAACUGGAAUUCUCGGUGUAGCGGUGAAAUGCGUAGAUAUCGAGAGGAACACCUGCGGCGAAGGCGGGUUGCUGGGCUGACACUGACGCUGAGGCGCGAAAGCUAGGGGAGCGAACGGG
rnacentral:rRNA from 1 species